GACGAACGCUGGCGGCGUGCUUAACACAUGCAAGUCGAACGGUGAACCUCUUCGCUGGGGAUCAGUGUCUAACGGGUGGGUAACACGUUGGCAACCUGCCCCCGUCUCUGGGAUAACUCCAAGACUUUGGGGCUAAUACCGUAUGUUCACCGCUUCCCUCGUGGGUGGUGGUGGAAAGGGUUUCCGGCUGGGGAUGGGCCCUCAGCCUAGCAGCUUGUUUGCGUGGGAGUGUCCGACCAAGACGGCGACGGGUAGCCGGCCUGGGAGGGUGAACGGCGACACUGGGACUACGACACGGCGCAGACGGCUACGGGAGGCAGCAGUGGGGAAUAUUGCGGAAUGGGCGGAAGCCUGACGCAGCGACGCCGCGUGGGGGAUGACGGCCUUCGGGUUGUAAACCUAUGUCUGCAGGGACGAAGCGCAAGUGACGGUACCUGAAGAGGAAGCACCGGCCAACUACGUG
rnacentral:rRNA from 1 species